rnacentral:rRNA from 1 species
UACGUAGGGUGCAAGCGUUGUCCGGAAUUAUUGGGCGUAAAGAGCUCGUAGGCGGUCUGUCGCGUCGGCUGUGAAAACCCGGGGCUCAACCCCGGGCCUGCAGUCGAUACGGGCAGACUAGAGUGCGGUAGGGGAGACUGGAAUUCCUGGUGUAGCGGUGAAAUGCGCAGAUAUCAGGAGGAACACCGGUGGCGAAGGCGGGUCUCUGGGCCGUAACUGACGCUGAGGAGCGAAAGCGUGCGGAGCGAACAGG